ACCUCAGCUCAGACGUGAUUACCCGCUGAACUUAAGCAUAUC
rnacentral:rRNA from 1 species